UUGAAACACUGGUUCCUGUACGAUCACCGAAGUUAAGCAAUGUUGAACCUGGUCAGUACCUAAAUGGGUGACCUCUUGGGAGUACCAGAUGCUGU